AGUGAACGCUGGCGGCGUGCUUAACACAUGCAAGUCGAACGAGAACGGAUCAUAGCUUGCUAUAAUUGUCAGCUAAGUGGCGCACGGGUGAGUAAUGUAUAGGUAAUAUGCCUCUUACUAAGGGAUAACAAAUGGAAACGUUUGCUAAUACCUUAUACUCCUUAUUAACAGAAGUUAAUAAGGGAAAGAUUUAUUGGUAAGAGAUUAGCCUGUAUUGUAUCAGUUAGUUGGUGGGGUAAUGGCUUACCAAGACUAUGACACAUAACUGGUUUGAGAGGAUGAUCAGUCAUACUGGAACUGAGACACGGUCCAGACUCCUACGGGAGGCAGCAGUGGGGAAUAUUGCACAAUGGACGAAAGUCUGAUGCAGCAACGCCGCGUGGAGGAUGACACAUUUCGGUGCGUAAACUCCUUUUAUAUGAGAAGAUAAUGACGGUAUUAUAUGAAUAAGCACCGGCUAACUCCGUGCCAGCCGCCGCUGUAA
rnacentral:rRNA from 1 species